AUUCAUUCAUGUUUAUAAAUCAAAUAUUUGGUAAUUGAAAAUGAAAACAAUCUUUAGAAAGUUAUAAUAAAAAUCUGCUACAGGUUCAAAAAGAAUAAACACUUUUCUGUUUCUAUAAAAAAAUUUUGUUUAUACUUUACUAUCACAUAAAACACAUACUUUAUUACGACAUAUAAAUUUUGUUUAUAUGUGUACCAUAUAUGGCUUUAGGAAACAAAAAUUAGGAACUACUUUUCUGUCAAUCUGAGCCAUGCAUUCUAAAAUGAGAACAAUGAGGUAAAGAAGUUCCCCCCCUCCCCAUCUUACUGGCUUUGUUCAUUUUCUUCUAGCUGAAACAGUUUUUAUAUUUUUCAUGUAACACCUGAUUAGAUUCCAGAUCUUAACAAAGCAAUUAAUGCAUGACUCAUACAAUUGUGUUGGAGAAGUAUUUUUAGUAUAGCUAUCAUGUCUACUAAGUAGAAUUUUUUUAAUCUCAGUUAUUUUAUAGUCUAGGAUUUAAUGUCCUUUUUUUUCUAUAAAAAAGUCUAGGAUUUAAUGCUAUCUUCUAUUUCCUUGUAGUGAGCUUCCUCGCGGAUCUUGGUGGUCUAUAUUGCAUUAGUAUUGGCAUAUUUUUCUACCUCUUGGUGCAGUGCGAAUACAGAAUAAAAAAGCUCCGCAUUGAAGAUAGUGUUUUGAGAAAGAUUAGAAAUCGUCGGAAAGCACAAGAACACUGGGCUAAAUUGAGAAAAUAUGUCAUGUACACCUGGGGUUGUAGCAUAGUAGACGAUGAAUUCAACCAUGCUAAGAAGGAAUCAGGUUGCAGCAAUCUCACGAGACCGUCGAUUCGUGGUAAUGGAUCUUCUCAUGGAAGUGUAUCAAUGAGGAAGCGAAGGCAAACAAACAGGAUGGAUACUAUAAGUUUUAACAAGAAAUUCAGCUUACCUAGUGAGAAGGUAGUGCUCUCAUUUUCUGUUGGUUGUUAGGUUCAUUUACUAGCUUUAUAUACAGAUCUAGGGCUGUAUUUCAUGGUCUUUUUUUUUUCUUGAUUGUAUGUUUUGGGUAAUCUGUAAAGAGAGGAAUUAUAGGGCUUUUGAGGGGAUAGA